GAGUUUGAUCAUGGCUCAGAUUGAACGCUGGCGGCAUGCCUUACACAUGCAAGUCGAACGGCAGCAUGAUCUAGCUUGCUAGAUUGAUGGCGAGUGGCGAACGGGUGAGUAAUACAUCGGAACGUGCCCUGUAGUGGGGGAUAACUAGUCGAAAGAUUAGCUAAUACCGCAUACGACCUGAGGGUGAAAGUGGGGGACCGCAAGGCCUCAUGCUAUAGGAGCGGCCGAUGUCUGAUUAGCUAGUUGGUGAGGUAAAGGCUCACCAAGGCGACGAUCAGUAGCUGGUCUGAGAGGACGAUCAGCCACACUGGGACUGAGACACGGCCCAGACUCCUACGGGAGGCAGCAGUGGGGAAUUUUGGACAAUGGGGGCAACCCUGAUCCAGCAAUGCCGCGUGUGUGAAGAAGGCCUUCGGGUUGUAAAGCACUUUUGUCCGGAAAGAAAUCGCACUUACUAAUAUUAGGUGUGAUGACGGUACCGGAAGAAUAAGGACCGGGCUAACUACGUGCCAGCAGCCGCGGUAAUACGUAGGGGUCCAAGCGUUAAUCGGAAUUACUGGGCGUAA
rnacentral:rRNA from 1 species